UCCUCAGCUGCUGUCAGGCAGGCACUGCUGGCUGAACUCUGUGUGUGCAGCACCCUAACAGGGUCAUCCUCUGUCUUAAACUCCACUGACACCGUUCCCCCAACCACUGCAAGCUGCCCACAGGCUCUCACCAGAACCCCUGAGACACAGCCAGCUCAAGGCAGCUGGGGAUCACCCGAAAUUUGUGCUGAAGGCAGAGACACUUCUACAUUCAGUGCUCCUCCUUCCAGUACAGAGCUGGUCAGUCCAGGACACAGCCCAUGAACAAGCUGGGAACAGCCUUUCCAUCCUUCAAAGUAAUCACCAAAACCCCUCCAUGGAGUGCUCUGCUCAUGUGGAUACCCUCUUCAAGAACUUCACGGCAAAGUCUGGUCACUUGUUCAACAAAGAUGUUCCUGCAUGGCUUACAGGAAAGAAGAAUAAUCCAAUGUCAGCUAAAAAAGGACCCCUGAACAAGUUUACUCCCAGGAUGGCUGGGUGCUCAGAGAGCUGCACUGAAUUGACAGGAAGUGUAAUUUUGGACCUGCAAUUAUCAAGCCAGCACAUUAUCUGCAAUGCAACUAUCCAAAAUCACACUGGGUCUAGAAAGGAGAUUCACUGCAGCACCCCGGUGACGAAGGCAAUGAGGCAGCAGUGAUAAAAACCCUCUGAUCUUAGCAACAAGGGAACCCAUUUUUGCCAGUGGUUGUUAAGAAAUUGGUGAACAGAACAUGCCAAAAAGGAACACCAUGGUCAGACUGCAUGGAUGCUGCUGGUUUGUGAAAAUGACAACAGUGCUAGUUCAGGGAGUAGGUGGAAGCAAUCAGGCCACCCCUGCAUGUAGGAACUGGUGCAGAUUCCUGCUCCCAUCAGUUGUUUCAACAGCACUAAAAGACACAAACAAGGAGUGCUUGAGGAGAAGGUCAGAGAUUCCACAGCUCAGCAGGGAGAGUCCAGCCAGACACCAGCUCUGAGCAUUCUUCCUUGCAGGAAGGAGCAAUGCCAGUUAUCCCCCAGUGCCACAACAACUUUGCCUAGGAAAUGAGUGAGCUAAAGAAGACUAUUCAGAGCACUCCUGACUGUUAGAAACGAGUCCAUGUGGGGAAAAAUAAGAGAUCCUGAAGUAUAUCUCUGGUGGCUGAAUGCCUGCAGGCUCUGGAAGCAAACCCUGGAGUAAGGAAACCCUUACUGCAUUCAUCUGCCCAAACUGUGCCAGAAGGAGCCAGUGCUUGAGGACAGCUGCUGGAGCCCAGCUGGCAUCCCAGGAUGGGAGUUCUGCUCCUUGUGAGGAACAGGAGCAGGUUGGGUAUGGGCCCUGCUCUGUGGCUGCAGAUCCCUCCAGGAAACCCUGCCAAAUGCACUUUGGGGGUCUCUACUAAAUUUGCAGCUUCCACAAAAUGGACCAGCUGUCUAUGGACUUCACUGUGUCAGACACCACCACUUUACAGUGAUCCCUGUCCAAGGUGUAGAGAACCUUUGGGAGGAGUUUCUCUGCUACAAAUGUUUGUCACCUUUCAUUUUCAAGUAUCAAGCUCUGGGAUUCCCUGCUGGACACUGCCCCAACCACUGGCCAUGGGCCCACUGGCUCCAAACCAGUUCUCUGCAUAGAAGGGUUUGCUCCUGGCUCCUUCACAGGGAAGAACUUGGUUUAAAUUGCCU